GGGCCGGUAGCUUAGCUAGGUAGAGCGUUCGGCUCUUAACCGAAUGGCCAGGGGUUCGAAUCCCUUCCGGCCCGCCA
rnacentral:tRNA from 1 species